AGGACCCAGAUGCUAUACAGUGGGAAAACCAGCCUGGCAACAUAAGCUCACAAGCUAUCAGAAAGUUGUAUGGCAACCACCUCCGGCGCCAAAUAGAACUGGCAGACAUAGACAUUCAGUACAAGAAGAAAAAGAUGGAAAAUCUUGCACUGGAGUCCGAAAUAAAAAAGAGGACAAUUAGGAAACUGGACCUUGAAAUAAAAAAACUUGAGAGGGAGCUCCAAGAAGAUGACACAGCUCAAAAUAAAAAUUAGGUAUAUUCUCAUAAAGUCAAGUGAGCCAUGACAUAUGAGCUCUUAUUGUGAGCACACAGGACGGUGGCAUCUUUCUAAGGUUUUUUUAUUUUCCCAGCAAUCAGUACAACCAAGUCAUCGUUAUAAGGCAUCGCCCUCUUUUGCCCACCCCCCCAGCACCAGGUGUGGCCACUAGCCUAUAUGAAGGCCCAAAAUUGUGUGUUCCUUUCUGCUCUGACAAUGGCAUGCCCAUUCGUGCGAGAUGUGGUGGAUGAAGAAGCACUUGUGCUGAGGAGAGCCUUCAGGCGAGAAAGGGUCUUCAGGGACCGGUUGGACCCACUGGCCUUCCCUGAUGACCAUCUAUAUGAAAGAUACAGGUUUUCUGCAGAUGGCAUCAGGUAUCUAUGCAGACUACUGGGUCCCAGGAUUAAGCACCGCACUGCACGGAGCCAUGCACUGAGUGUGGAGCAAAUGGUUUGUGUGGCCUUGCGCUUUUUUGCUAGUGGAGCCUUCCUGUACUCAGUGGGGGAUGCAGAACAGCUGAACAAGGCCACAAUUUGCCGCACAAUAAGGAGUGUGUGUCUGGCUAUCAAAGCAUUAGCAGAUGUCUUCAUCUCCUUCCCUGACCACAGAAGACUGUGACAUCAAAGAGGAGUUCUAUAGGA